AGAGUUUGAUCCUGGCUCAGGAUGAACGCUGGCGGUAUGCCUAACACAUGCAAGUCGAACGAUGUCUUCGGACAUAGUGGCGGACGGGUGAGUAACGCGUGAGAAUCUGCCUCUAGGAUGGGGAUAACGGUUGGAAACGACCGCUAACACCCAAUAUGCCGUAAGGUGAAAAAUUUAUUGCCUGGAGAGGAGCUCGCGUCUGAUUAGCUAGUUGGUGGGGUAAGAGCUCACCAAGGCUUCGAUCAGUAGCUGGUCUGAGAGGAUGAGCAGCCACACUGGGACUGAGACACGGCCCAGACUCCUACGGGAGGCAGCAGUGGGGAAUUUUCCGCAAUGGGCGAAAGCCUGACGGAGCAAUACCGCGUGAGGGAGGAAUGCCUUUGGGUUGUAAACCUCUUUUCUCAGGGAAGAAGAUCUGACGGUACCUGAGGAAUAAGUAUCGGCUAACUCCGUGCCAGCAGCCGCGGUAAUACGGAGGAUGCAAGCGUUAUCCGGAAUCAUUGGGCGUAAAGCGUCCGCAGGUGGUUUCCAAAGUCUGCUGUUAAAGACUGGAGCUCAACUCCGGAACGGCGGUGGAAACUUGGAAACUAGAGUUCGGUAGGGGUAGCAGGAAUUCCCAGUGUAGCGGUGAAAUGCGUAGAUAUUGGGAAGAACAUCGGUGGCGAANGCGUGCUACUGGANCGUAACUGACACUCAGGGACGAAAGCUAGGGGAGCGAAAGGGAUUAGAUACCCCUGUAGUCCUAGCUGUAAACGAUGGAAACUA
rnacentral:rRNA from 1 species